CAGCUAAAACGAAAGGACAGCAGAUGGGUGCCCUUGCUACAAGUUUAUGAAAAACAUCCUUUGUUCGUUUUUGUCUCAGAAUUAGUUUUUCUUUGAUACCCUUUAGGGGGACAGUGUUAUUCCCAGAGUCCUGGUGUGUAACAGGAAGUUCAGUGGGACCUGUGAUUAUCCAAAGUCACACAGAGAAGCUGGAAUUUGGACCCAGGUCUGUCUGCCUCCAAAGUCAUGCAUUUUCCCUUAACCCCCCACCACCACUUUUGGUUCGCACCACUUCUACUUCUGCAACCAGGUUUCUCAAGAAAACCGAGAGAGGGGAAGUCCAGGGGGAGGUGGCUCUGGUGCCUGGGGCUCCAACCAGAAAAUGGCCAAUCAAACCUCAGUUAAAAACAGGGGUUCACAAGCAUGUGUUCAUCUUACGGGUGAAUCAUGGCGGCCAAUGCCAAGUACGUGGGCCUGGCGCGCUCUCUGUGUGCCUUGGAUUGAUUAUUUGCAUCAUUGAGGGUGCCCAUGAUGUGCAUUUUAACUCGACUGACAGGACAUUGGAUGUCAUGAAUGUUCACAACUUCAGCACUCUCCUAAGGCAAUAGUUGGAAAAGCUCUUGAUUUGGAGACAGCCAAGAAGGAGCAAUCCUGAAGAUGCCCUCGCAUGGCAAGCCCAAACUAAAGAUGAGCUACUCACACAGAAGAUGACAAAGAUAAACUCAUGCACCUAGAAAAGAGAAGAGGUCCCUUCUGUAAAUAACUGAAGGGCCUGAUGGACUUGAAAGGGCCAGAAAUGUGGAGACCACAGCCAGAGGAAUGAAGAUGAUUUUGUUGACUUGAAAGACAGGCUAAGCAUUACUAGUAAGCAGGGAUGGACACAGAGUUCCACUCAAAAGCUCCACUCCACGCAAAGAAAGACUCCCUCCAUGCAAAACAGCCUUCCAAGUUUUAGACAUUGAAAACAGUUAACUCUCACAAAUCUCAAAGAAGAGGGAAGGGAUAGUGUUUAAGGCAGAGAGAGGAAGAACAAUAUUGAACCUUGCCUCAGGUGAGGAGAGGAGGAGACCUGGGGCGAUCAUCUGCAGAUCAGAAAGUCGGUGUGUUCACCACGCACACCAACCCAGCCGACUCUUCUCUCUGAAAGAAGAGCAUCUGCCAAGACCCAGUGACUGAAAUAGUUUGGCAACAAAUUCUUGAUCUACAAAGAAGCCUAUAAGAGGCAAUGGAAAAUAGAAAACAGGUGAAAGGCAUUCAGAGGAGAAACGUGUUAGAGUAUAGACCAAGGUCAAAGUUAAUCAUAUUAGCAAAUCAAGGAGACAAAAAAUUAAUAAAGAGAUUAUGGAGCUCA
rnacentral:lncRNA from 1 species